GAUGAACGCUGGCUACAGGCUUAACACAUGCAAGUCGAGGGGAAACGACGGGGAAGCUUGCUUCCCCGGGCGUCGACCAGCGCACGGGUGAGUAACGCGUAUCCAACCUGCCUCUGACUGAGGGAUAACCCGUCGAAAGUCGGCCUAAUACCUCAUGGCAUCGUCUGCGGGCAUCCAACGACGAUUAAAGAUUUCAUCGGUCAGAGAUGGGGAUGCGUCUGAUUAGCUUGUUGGCGGGGUAACGGCCCACCAAGGCGACGAUCAGUAGGGGUUCUGAGAGGAAGGUCCCCCACAUUGGAACUGAGACACGGUCCAAACUCCUACGGGAGGCAGCAGUGAGGAAUAUUGGUCAAUGGGCGAGAGCCUGAACCAGCCAAGUAGCGUGCAGGAUGACGGCCCUAUGGGUUGUAAACUGCUUUUAUGCGGGGAUAAAGUGAGGGACGUGUCCUUCAUUGCAGGUACCGCAUGAAUAAGGACCGGCUAAUUCCGUG
rnacentral:rRNA from 1 species